GCCUGGAUAGCUCAGCUGGUUAGAGCGUGGUGUUGAUAAUGCCAAGGUUGCAGGUUCGAUCCCCAUAUGGGACA